GUGGUCGUAGCUCAAUUGGCAGAGCUCUGGAUUGUGAUUCCAGCGGUUGCGGGUUCAAGGCCCGUCUUCCACCCCA
rnacentral:tRNA from 1 species